GAUGAACGCUGGCGGCGUGCCUAAUACAUGCAAGUCGAGCGAAUGGAUUAAGAGCUUGCUCUUAUGAAGUUAGCGGCGGACGGGUGAGUAACACGUGGGUAACCUGCCCAUAAGACUGGGAUAACUCCGGGAAACCGGGGCUAAUACCGGAUAACGUUUUGAACCGCAUGGUUCGAAAUUGAAAGGCGGCUUCGGCUGUCACUUAUGGAUGGACCCGCGUGGCAUUAGCUAGUUGGUGAGGUAACGGCUCACCAAGGCAACGAUGCGUAGCCGACCUGAGAGGGGGGUCGGCCACACUGGGACUGAGACACGGCCCAGACUCCUACGGGAGGCAGCAGUAGGGAAUCUUCCGCAAUGGACGAAAGUCUGACGGGGCAACGCCGCGUGAGUGAUGAAGGCUUUCGGGUCGUAAAACUCUGUUGUUAGGGAAGAACAAGUGCUAGUUGAAUAAGCUGGCACCUUGACGGUACCUAACCAGAAAGCCACGGCUAACUACGUGCCAGCCGCCGCAGUAA
rnacentral:rRNA from 1 species